rnacentral:rRNA from 1 species
UUAGCUGCGGACGGGUGAGUAACACGUGAGUAACCUGCCUUAGACAUUGGGAUAGCCUCGGGAAACCGGGAUUAAUACCAAAUAAAAUCAUAAUGACACAUGUCAUAACGAUCAAAACUCCGGUGGUCUAAGAUGGACUCGCGUCCCAUUAGCUAGUUGGUAGAGUAAAAGCCUACCAAGGCGACGAUGGGUAGCCGGCCUGAGAGGGUGAACGGCCACAUUGGAACUGAGAAGCGGUCCAA